GACGAACGCUGGCGGCGUGCCUAACACAUGCAAGUCGAACGGAAAGGCCAUGCUUUUGUGGGGCGCUCGUGUGGCGAACGGGUGAGUAACACGUGAGUAACAUGCCCUUGAAUUUGGGAUAAAUUCAGGAAACUGGGGCUAAUAUCGGAUAGGAGCUCUUGAUGCAUGGUGGGGGUUGGUAAGUUUCGGCGGUUGGGGAUGGACUCGCGGCUUAUCAGCUUGUUGGUGGGGUAGUGGCUUACAAAGGUUUUGACGGAUAGCCGGCCUGAGCGGGUGACCGGCGACAUGAGGACUGAGAGACGGACCAGACGCGUACGGGAGGCAACGGUGGAGAGCAUUGCACAGUGGGGGGGCGCGAGAUGCGACAGCGCCGGGUUCGGGAAGCUGGCUUACUGGUUGUGAACCACUUUGUCCGGUAAUAUGGCGGGAUUGACGGUAAUGGGUAAAGAAGCACCGGCUAACUACGUG
rnacentral:rRNA from 1 species